GCAAAAUCAGUCAGAAUGUUCCCACGCUUAAUUCAAAGUUGCCUUGGUCCAAAUGCAUGACUAAAAUGCUCAUCUGAUUGCAUUUUCAAUCAUCUGCCUGGAAGAAAAAGGUAUUCUGGACACGCGCUACUUUUCAUGUAAAAUGAACUUGAAAACAAUUGACGCAAAUAGGAAAAUAAAGUGGCACAACUUGGGAACAGAGUCUUGUCUAGUUGUGGUUUAACAAAGGAAUGGAUUUGUUGUCCUCGUAACUUGCAACUACGGCCUCACCACAAGCAGAAAAGAACACAGCAGUUGCUGUACGCUAUCAAAUUAGACACAAAGCUGCAGACUUUCCCUACGGAUUAGUUCUAAAUUUUCUGUGUGGAAACAGCAUCUACCAUUUGAAUUGUUAUUAUGCAAGGACUCUCAAGUAACAGCAGUUGGGGAAAGGCAACAUCAUCUCCACAGACAGAAUCACCAAUUAAAUGAAAACUUCUAUUUGCAGUAGCUAUGAGUCUCUUCUUGUUAACCAUCUCACACAGUUGGAAGCUUUUCUUGUACAGCCACGACUGAAUCUGUCAAUAAUGACAGCCGCGACACCUCCGACCUGAGGCAAAUUUCUUCUGUAUAAAGAAGCCACUAAUGUGAAGAUACAGGUUUACAACUUUUAGAUCUGGCGGACGAAACGGGGAUGAAAAGGAGAAGUGUAUAUUUUGAUUUAAAUGCACAGAUAAAAAUGUUUCUCAUCUCCCUCACAAACAAAAAUGGUUUUGCUUUCUCCUGUACAGCAUGAAACGACGUCCCUGCGGUUGCCACCAAAAUGAUCAUCAGCCUCCAACAUCUUCUAUUGUUACUGCUGCUCGAUAUAGACGCCUGCUUGCUUUAGCUAGGCAAUUGGGAUGGCCUUCACCCACAAGUGACCCAACUGGGAAUAUGUAGUGUGGGUAUAUACUCCCAUUAUUAUUUGCUCAUCCCUCCCAAACACCACAAUGAGGCAAUGUAGCAAGAUUUGAGAGGGAACAGGGGCUUAGGGCAUGCAAAUUUAUC